AAGAUGUGAGAAGGCACUUCAUGUGGGAGAUAAGCCUUGUUUUACUUAAUCCACUGAGAUGUCAGAGUUAAUUGUUACAGCAGCAGCCUGUUGUAUAGGCUGACUAACACAUGGUAACUAACAGAACACUUUGGAUUCUUGACAAAAUAAGAGCAAGAAAGCAGCAGCAGAAGCAGAAAUCAGAGGGGCGAGAAACCAAAAGCAACAGAGCAAGAUCUACUCUCUACACAUCGACAUCCUGCUCUCUUCCAGGGGAUGACUGAGAGAAUGUGACAAAGAAGAUAAUGAAACAGGAUGGAUAUCCAUGCACAUCCAUCUUGAAGCAA
rnacentral:lncRNA from 10 species